rnacentral:rRNA from 1 species
GCAAGUCGAGCGCGCCCUUCGGGGUGAGCGGCGGACGGGUUAGUAACGCGUGGGAACGUACCCUUCUCUACGGAAUAGCCUUUGGAAACGAAGAGUAAUACCGUAUACGCCCUUUGGGGGAAAGAUUUAUCGGAGAAGGAUCGGCCCGCGUUAGAUUAGGUAGUUGGUGGGGUAAUGGCCUACCAAGCCUACGAUCCAUAGCUGGUUUGAGAGGAUGAUC